CCUACGGGAGGCAGCAGUCGAGAAUCAUUCACAAUGGGGGAAACCCUGAUGGUGCGACGCCGCGUGGGGGAAUGAAGGUCUUCGGAUUGUAAACCCCUGUCAUGUGGGCGCAAAUUAAAAAGAUAGUACCCCAAGAGGAAGAGACGGCUAACUCUGUGCCAGCAGCCGCGGUAAUACAGAGGUCUCAAGCGUUGUUCGGAAUCACUGGGCGUAAAGCGUGCGUAGGCUGUUUCGUAAGUCGUGUGUGAAAGGCGCGGGCUCAACCCGCGGACGGCACAUGAUACUGCGAGACUAGAGUAAUGGAGGGGGAACCGGAAUGCUCGGUGUAGCAGUGAAAUGCGUAGAUAUCGAGAGGAACACUCGUGGCGAAGGCGGGUUCCUGGACAUUAACUGACGCUGAGGCACGAAGGCCAGGGGAGCGAAAGGGAUUAGAUACCCCUGUAGUC
rnacentral:rRNA from 1 species